rnacentral:rRNA from 1 species
GACGAACGCUGGCGGCGUGCUUAACACAUGCAAGUCGAACGGAAAGGCCCUGCUUUUGUGGGGUGCUCGAGUGGCGAACGGGUGAGUAACACGUGAGUAACCUGCCCUUGACUUUGGGAUAACGUCAGGAAACUGGGGCUAAUACCGGAUAGGAGCUCCUGCUGCAUGGUGGGGGUUGGAAAGUUUCGGCGGUUGGGGAUGGACUCGCGGCUUAUCAGCUUGUUGGUGGGGUAGUGGCUUACCAAGGCUUUGACGGGUAGCCGGCCUGAGAGGGUGACCGGCCACAUUGGGACUGAGAUACGGCCCAGACUCCUACGGGAGGCAGCAGUGGGGAAUAUUGAACAAUGGGCGGAAGCCGGAUGCAGCAACGCCGCGUGCGGGAUGACGGCCUUCGGGUUGUAACCCGCUUUCGCCUGUGACGAAGCGUGAGUGACGGUAAUGGGUAAAGAAGCACCGGCUAACUACGUG